AGGAUCCUUGCUAGCCAUUCUCAUUGUGACCCAGGCAGUAGCAUCCAUCCCAGGCUUGGUCUGGUUCCCUUCCUGCCACUUCAGGGCUUACAGCACAGAAAGGCAAGCAGUGCCACUGAUUCUUUCCUUCCUCCUUCCCACCUUUGCAGGAAGCUUUUAUCCAGCUUCAGCUCAAGCAGAUCCAUUACAUUCCUCCUGGGCAUGAUUCCCCCUCCACUGAGCAGCUGCACAAAUCAAGCAUCCUGUAUUGAGAGGAAAGGAGAGGAUCCUCUCCAGCCCUUUCUGAAACGCAUGCAGCACUGCAGAAACCAGGGCAAAGCAUUCACAAUGCUCCUAAAUCUCCUGAGGACCACAGUGUCCUAUCAAAGGGAGACAUCAAAUCCAAAUCUGGCCCUGUAAUAGCCGCAAACCUUGAGAAAAAAACCUGAACUCAUAAUGUUUACUAACAAUUUGUAUUUAUAUAUUUAUAUCAUCCUUAGGAGUGGGAUAGCUGAACUCUUCACAACACAAAAACCACCACCACAACGAAGUUCACAGCUUAUAGAAGCACUCCCUGCUUUGUGGAGCAGCGUUGCCUCAGACAAGCAGCCACUAUCAAUACAAACUAACCUGAAACCACCCAGAAAUGAAUCUGCGGCUGUACAGCUUCUCCUUUCCCCCUGCUCGAGACGGAGCAGGGGUGCUUGCAGCGUUGGCUGCCUGCCCUGCAGUGCCUCCCUGCCCGGAGAAGAGAAAGCAAAACCACUUCUCUCCCAGCCAAGUCAACCCUGUGGCUUCCCCAGCUGCUGCUGGCAAGGGCUGCUGCGACAGCAAGUUCUCGGUACAGCUCCUGGCUUCUUUUGGCCAGUGUUUGCCCACCCUGGAGUAACACACACUGGUGGCAAGUCCUUUGGCUGCAUCCUGCUGACCGCAGUGGGCUCGGAGCCAUCUGAGCGUGGCCCUUCCCAACCAGCUGGAUCACGGGUGGGAACUCCUCCGUUGCCACCUUGACAGACUUAUAUGCAUUUUCCACAUCAGCUGGAGCAGAUGCGCUCACUUUCCAAGAAUAAAUCACGUGGAAGCGCGGCUCCUUGCCACUCACCUCCUUGACCUCGGCUUGCGAAGAUGGCAGCGCCUCAGCUUCUCGAUGUUUGUUUGUGCCAGAAGUCAGCCCCGGAUAUGCCGCCCCUCCGUGCUGUCUCCAUACACACCCUCACUCUUCAGCGCAGCCAUCCAGUUUGACGGUCUCAAGCUUCACAUUUGCUUGUUUAUCUCAAGACCAAGCCUGGUUCGCAGGGUCAAGGCCAGAAUAAACCACCAUUCCCAGAAAACACAGCAGCUCCGGCCACUUGCAGGAAAAGACACGCAUACACGCAAGCCCGGAGAGGAGAAAGCUGCAAAGCAACUUCCCCAUCACAGCCUGUGCCUCAGCACCACUUUGGGCACUCACCGAGGGGUGUCCCAACCCCAUUAGACCCUGCAUUGGGCUCAUCAGUGUUUGCACGGAGCCGGGCAGGGCAAAGUCUCUUCUCCUGCUGCCUGUCUGGGGAUCUCGGGCAAAUACAAGCUUCCGAGCCCUGAGUGAUGGGAGCUGCCGGCAGGCAGGCAGGGACAAGCCUGCUGUUCCUUGUGUCGCAGCUCAGCACCGUGCCCAGCCCAGCUGCCCCUCGGGGAAGGCAUCCCCUGCCCUCGGCUUUAAUUCAAUCCUAGUAAGGAACUGCUGAGGACACGGCAAAUGCUACAUCCAAAAGGUCCUCACCACCAUCCCAAGAGGAAUCACAAUGCCACAGUCCUACCCGAGAGCUUCUGAGCCCGCGAUUGGUGGUCCCAGGAGUGGCCUCUGCCCUCCUACACAAAACCUGUGCUCUUUGCCUGCGUCCUGAACACACCGUGGGGAGCAACGCCUAUGCAAGGGCACCGUCUACAUCCCACACUUCAUUAAUAGCCCCCUCUGCUCCAGAGAGCACCUGCAAUGCCAUCUCAGCACAGUUUGCAGGCUCAUAAAAUCACGUACAAAGCAAAUUGCACCUUCUGUUCUCUUCCUCCAUCCCCCCUCAGCUGCAUCAGGCCCUGCUCCCAGCCCACACCUCAGAGCGAAGUCCUAUUGCUGCUGUAGCAAUAACCCUGGUGCCUUGGCGUCAGUGGCCAGAGACAGGAGCUGCUGCCGUCUCCACGUCAAGU